rnacentral:rRNA from 1 species
UACGUAGGGACCAAGCGUUGUUCGGAUUUACUGGGCGUAAAGGGCGCGUAGGCGGCUUGACAAGUCACUUGUGAAAUCUCCGGGCUUAACUCGGAACGGCCAAGUGAAACUGUCAUGCUAGAGUGCAGAAGGGGCAAUCGGAAUUCUUGGUGUAGCGGUGAAAUGCGUAGAUAUCAAGAGGAACACCUGAGGUGAAGACGGGUUGCUGGGCUGACACUGACGCUGAGGCGCGGAAGCCAGGGGAGCAAACGGG